ACCAGACUCCUACGGGAGGCAGCAGUGGGGAAUAUUGCACAAUGGGGGAAACCCUGAUGCAGCGACGCCGCGUGAGUGAAGAAGUAUUUCGGUAUGUAAAGCUCUAUCAGCAGGAACGAGACAAGACGGUACCUGACUAAGAAGCCCCGGCUAACUACGUGCCAGCAGCCGCGGUAAUACGUAGGGGGCAAGCGUUAUCCGGAAUCACUGGGUGUAAAGGGAGCGUAGACGGCUGAGCAAGCCUGAAGUGAAAGGCGGGGGCCCAACCCCUGGACUGCUUUGGGAACUGUACGGCUGGAGUGCAGGAGAGGUAAGUGGAAUUCCUAGUGUAGCGGUGAAAUGCGUAGAUAUUAGGAGGAACACCAGUGGCGAAGGCGGCUUACUGGACUGUAACUGACGUUGAGGCUCGAAAGCGUGGGGAGCAAACAGGAUUAGAUACCCCUGUA
rnacentral:rRNA from 1 species